rnacentral:lncRNA from 1 species
AGUCCUGGAAAUGAUCUUGAUGCUAUCUGUUCCUCGUUACAGCAGACCUGCUCAACUUCAGCAGCUAGAAGGAGGAUUGUCUUUCACCAGCUGCAGGAGCCUGUUCCCACUACAAGCCUGGUGGAGUCUUCGGAGCAGAUGUGACUGUCCUACUUGUAUAGAGAAGAGAAACUGAGGCUCAGAAGAGAUGCCUGGCUGAGUUUAAUAGGACUGCAACAACAAUUUUGCCUUUCUACUUUCUGCUCACCGAAGAAGACAGGAAAACUUGUCAGAUGGGGAAGGAUGUGUCAAGAGCAUGCACACAGAUUUACUCUUCAGCUAGAAGCUCCAAUUCCUAGAUGAUCUGAAUCCAACUCAGAGUGCUUGCACCUGUUUCCUGCCACACAGCUAGAGCUGGAAAUUGCAGCAAUUCAGUGAAAUCUUCAGGCUCCACUUCAAAUUCUAGUUUUCUUGCUAUUUAUACAUCUGCAGUGACUUCCUCCAGUGAAAACUUGAACACCUCAAAGUCAUCCAUGAGGUUUGAAAUAAACUUCUUCCGAACUCCUGUUAAUAUUGAUAUUUUGACCCCCGUCAUCCCCGUUAAUCACAAAUGUUCCUAAUGGCUUCUAGAAUGGUGAAUCCUUUCCAGAAGGUUUUCAAUUUACUUUUCCCAUAUUCUUUACAGAAAACACUAUCUAUUGGAGCUAAAGCACUAUGAAUAUAUUUCCUAAAUAAUAAGACUUGAAAGUUGAAAUGUCUUGUUAAUCUAUGGGCUACAGAAUGGAUGUUGUGUUAACAGGCAUGAAAACAAUAUUCGUCUCCUUAUCCAUCUCCAUCAGAGUUCUUGGGUGACUGGGUGCUUUGUAAAUGAGCAGGAAUAUUUUUGAAAUUUUUUUAGUAAUAGGUCUCAACAGUGGUCUUAAAAUAUUGAGCAAAUCAUGUUGUAAACAAAUGUGCUGUCAUCCAGACUUUGUUGUUCUAUUUAUAGAGCACAGGCAGAAGAGAGUUAGCAUAAUUCUUAAGGGCAGUAGAAAUUUUUGUAUGGUAAAUGAGCACUGCCUUCAACUUAAAGUCAUCAGCUACAUUAGCUACUAACAAGAGAGUCAGCCUGUCCUUUGGGACUCUGAAGCCAGGCACUGACAUUUCCUCUCUAGCUAUGAAAGUCCUAGAUGGCAUAUUUAUACAACAGAAGGCUGUUUCGUCUACACCGACAAUCUGUUGUUUAGUGUAGCCACCUUCAUCAAUGAUCUUAGCUAGAUCUUCUGGAUAACUUGCUGCAGCUUCUACAUUAGCACUUGCUACUUCACCUUGCACUCUUAUGUUAUGAAGAUGAUUUCUUUCCUUAAACAUCAUGAACCAACUUCUGCUAGCUUCUAACUUGUCUUCUGCAGCUGCUUCACCUCUCUCAGCCUUCAUGGAAUUGAAAAUAACUAAGGUCUUGCUGUGGAUUAGGCUUUGACUUAAGGGAAUGUUGUGGCUGCUUUGAUAUUCCAUCCAGACCACUAAAAUGUUUGUCCUAUCAGCAAUAAGGCAACAGCCUUUUUGGCUUUCUUUUCAUUUGUGUAGGUAACACUUUUAUUUUCCUUCAAAAACUUUUCCUAUGCAUUCACAACUUGGCUAAUGGUUUGGCACAAGAGGCCUAGCUUUUGACUUAUUUCAGCAUUUAACAUGCCUACCUCACCAAGCUUAAUCAUUUCUAGCUUUUGAUUUAAAGUGAGAGAUUUUUGGCUCUUCCUUUCACUUAAACAUUUAAAGGCCAUUGCAGGCUUAUUAAUUGGCCUAAUAUCAAUAUUGUUGUGUCUCAGGGAAUAGGGAGGCCAGAGGAGAGGGAGAGAGAUGGGAAACAGCUGGUCAAUGGAGCAGUCAGAACACAUACAAUGUUUAUUAAUUAUAUUUGAUAUUUUAUAUGGACAUGCUUCCUGGUGCCCAAAAACAAUUAUAAUAGUAAUAUCAAAGAUCAUUUAUUACAGAUCACAGGAGAUAUUAAUAAUAAUAAAAUCUGAAAUAUUGAGGGAAUUAUCCAAAUGUACAAAGAGGACAUA